rfam:Oryza meridionalis cultivar OR44 (W2112) chromosome 2, whole genome shotgun sequence.
UUUAAGUGCAAUCAUAAGUUUUGGUACCCAACUUUAAUCGUCCAUCUUAUUUAAUUUUUUUUAUAAUUUGUAUUUUUAUUGUUAUGAGAUGAUAAAAUAUAAAUAGUACUUGAUAAGUGACUUAUGUUUUUCAAAAUUUUUUUCAAAAAAAUUUCAAAUAAGAUGGACGGUCAGUUGUGUACGGAAAAUCAUGGCUGCACUUAAA